CCUACGGGUGGCAGCAGUGAGGAAUAUUGGUCAAUGGGCUUACGCCUGAACCAGCCAAGUCGCGUGAGGGAAGACUGCCCUAUGGGUUGUAAACCUCUUUUGUCAGGGAGCAACGCCGGCUACGUGUAGCCGGACUGAGAGUACCUGAAGAAAAAGCAUCGGCUAACUCCGUGCCAGCAGCCGCGGUAAUACGGAGGAUGCGAGCGUUAUCCGGAUUUAUUGGGUUUAAAGGGUGCGUAGGCGGAAUGCCAAGUCAGCGGUAAAAUCGCGGGGCUAAACCUCGCACCGCCGUUGAAACUGGCGUUCUUGAGUGCUGGAGAGGAAAUCGGAAUUCCGGGGGUAGCGGUGAAAUGCGUAGAUAUACGGAGGAACACCAGUGGCGAAGGCGGAUUGCUGGACAGUAACUGACGCUGAGGCGCGAAAGCGUGGGGAGCAAACAGGAUUAGAUACCCGAGUAGUC
rnacentral:rRNA from 1 species